CUUACACAUGCAGUCGUACGGUGAAGAGAGGAAUGCUUCUUGGAUCAGUGGCGAACGGGUGAGUAACACGUGAGCAAUCUGCCCUUGACUCUGGGAUAAGCGUUGGAAACGACGUCUAAUACCGGAUACGACCCUCGGAGGCAUCUCCUGGGGGUGGAAAGAAUUUUGGUCAAGGAUGAGCUCGCGGCCUAUCAGCUAGUUGGUGAGGUAAUGGCUCACCAAGGCGACGACGGGUAGCCGGCCUGAGAGGGUGACCGGCCACACUGGGACUGAGACACGGCCCAGACUCCUACGGGAGGCAGCAGUGGGGAAUAUUGCACAAUGGGCGAAAGCCUGAUGCAGCAACGCCGCGUGAGGGACGAAGGCCUUCGGGUUGUAAACCUCUUUUAGUAGGGAAGAAGCGAAAGUGACGGUACCUGCAGAAAAAGCACCGGCUAACUACGUGCCAGCAGCCGCGGUAAUACGUAGGGUGCAAGCGUUGUCCGGAAUUAUUGGGCGUAAAGAGCUCGUAGGCGGUUUGUCGCGUCUGCUGUGAAAACCCGAGGCUCAACCUCGGGCCUGCAGUGGGUACGGGCAGACUAGAGUGCGGUAGGGGAGAUUGGAAUUCCUGGUGUAGCGGUGGAAUGCGCAGAUAUCAGGAGGAACACCAAUGGCGAAGGCAGAUCUCUGGGCCGUAACUGACGCUGAGGAGCGAAAGCAUGGGGAGCGAACAGGAUUAGAUACCCUGGUAGUCCAUGCCGUAAACGUUGGGAACUAGAUGUGGGGACCAUUCCACGGUCUCCGUGUCGCAGCUAACGCAUUAAGUUCCCCGCCUGGGGAGUACGGCCGCAAGGCUAAAACUCAAAGGAAUUGACGGGGGCCCGCACAAGCGGCGGAGCAUGCGGAUUAAUUCGAUGCAACGCGAAGAACCUUACCAAGGCUUGACAUAUAGAGGAAACGGCUGGAAACAGUCGCCCCGCAAGGUCUCUAUACAGGUGGUGCAUGGUUGUCGUCAGCUCGUGUCGUGAGAUGUUGGGUUAAGUCCCGCAACGAGCGCAACCCUCGUCCUAUGUUGCCAGCACGUAAUGGUGGGAACUCAUGGGAUACUGCCGGGGUCAACUCGGAGGAAGGUGGGGAUGACGUCAAAUCAUCAUGCCCCUUAUGUCUUGGGCUUCACGCAUGCUACAAUGGCCGGUACAAAGGGCUGCAAUACCGUAAGGUGGAGCGAAUCCCAAAAAGCCGGUCUCAGUUCGGAUUGAGGUCUGCAACUCGACCUCAUGAAGUCGGAGUCGCUAGUAAUCGCAGAUCAGCAACGCUGCGGUGAAUACGUUCCCGGGCCUUGUACACACCGCCCGUCAAGUCAUGAAAGUCGGUAACACCCGAAGCCAGUAGCAGUAACAUGCAAGG
rnacentral:rRNA from 1 species